rnacentral:rRNA from 1 species
GUCUACGGCCAUGCUACCCUGAACAAGGCUGAUCCCGUCGGAUCUCGGAAGCUAAGCAGGGUCGAGCCUGGUUAGUACUUGGAUGGGAGACUAGGAAAACCAGGUGCUAUAGGCA